AGCCUUUUGUUUCCGUGCUGAGAUUUUAUCACCCACCAGACCACAAGAGCUGAUGAGACUCCCAAGAUAAGUGAAGUG
rnacentral:pre_miRNA from 1 species